UGGCAGCUCCAGCUGUGAGAACUGAAUUCCAUGGGCUGGUCACGCAGUUUUCUUCCUCAGUCCAUAGUAGUCAGUUCUUCCGUUUGGCUGCUUGAU
rnacentral:pre_miRNA from 13 species